GGAAGAGAUAGGUAGAGCCAGGAGAAGGGCUCACCUUGCCAGAUGUAGGUGUGUGUCACUGAGGAGAUCUGGAUGGUGCUUCCCAACCAGGCGGAGCAUGUCAUCAUACAGCUGCUUUUUGUACAUGGUGAUGGCAAGAUCAGGCUCUUAUACUGUCACAUAGAGCCUGGGGAAGGGAGAUACAUCUGGGGCCUCCUAGACCCAGAUCCCUACUGUCACUGCCUUCUGGGCAGAGGGUACAUAUCCUGAGCCCCAUCCCUCUUCCCAGCAAUGAAAUCUCAUCUCUCCCUACACCUCCUCUGAGGCCACAGCUCACCUUUCAGCCUCACGGUACUUGCCCUGCUUCUCCAUUUCCUGGGCCUGAGUGAUGUACAACACCAACACAUCUUCUGGUCUCAUGCAUUUCAUCGCCAGCUGUGGAGGCACAGAGGCAGGGUAGCCUCAGGUCCAAUUCCCCAGGGAAGCAGGGCUUCAAGGGAACCUGUUUUUCAGGAACUCUGAACUCUCCCAACAAUCACAGGAGUUUGGUUAUUGCCACUCUACUAGUCAGGUCGGGGAAUUCCAAGUCCUUAUGGAGCAGAGGAAGAAAUAUAUUCUGCUAAGGUCUGCAAUGCCUUGUGCUGGGACAUACACUCCCAUUGCCACUGUAACCACUGGGCUCUGAAGUGUAAGGCAAGAGCAAAGUCAUCAUUGUGACCAGAGCCAUCAGGAGUGGUAGUUCAGAUUCUGCAGCUCGCAAGCCCAUCUGUUCCUUCAAGAAUGAUAGAUAGGUCUGGAAACAAGGGCCUCUCUUCAUCCCUUCCUUUCUCUGUGGCUAGGGGUCAAAGUGGCUCAGACUGUUUUUUGGUACUCUUUGUCAGCUUUCAGGGAGCCAAGCAAAGAGGAGAAACAGACCCAGGAAUGAUGCCACACUGCCACUAAGGCAGAGUUCUCUUAUCAUGAACUCCACCCAUCUCUACCUUGUGGGCUUGUUUCCAAUGGCCAGCCUGGGUGUACAUGUCUAUAGCAUCUUUCGUUCAGUCUCCCUUAGUAUAGAGCUCCUCAGCAAUCUGUAGUUGACGAGAGGUAGAUACAAAAGGUCAGAGCAACAGGGUUGAAUGAGGAAAGAACAAACCUUGGCUGGGAUGAUGUUUCUAAGAGAUGGCAUCAAAACGGUCCAAAGACGGUGAUUCAUACUCUGGAAUUAUAAACCUCCUGGGUCUCCUUCCCUGAAACAAGGUCCCCUACACCAGAAUGUUGAACCUUCACAUGGAGAUCUUACCCCUAGGGAUUUUGGGUCCCCACAAGUAUUAAGCCAAGAUGCCCCAUUCCCCACCCUACCCUCAAUUUUGGUUCCUACCUCACUAAGGCUAUUAGUGUUCAAGUCCCCCACCAGCAGUGUGUGUGAUGUGUGGGCCACCAAGUAAUGUUCCUUUCCCAGGAUUUUCACCUCUUCCCCCUCAUAGCCAGAGUGGGACUUGAGCACCACCCGGGUUCCCGAUGACAGGUUCUUCACAAUCACCUUGGUAAAGGACAACUCUGAGCCCCUUAGGCUUCCCCAGUCCAAAAGAAGGGUGAACAUCCAUGCCCUUUGCCACCUCCACAGUCUAAACAAAGCUAAUAUCUUGUUCCUCCUUGGGCCUUGGAUAUUGUUGACAGUAAUGGUACCUUACAUUUAUAUGGGGAUUUACUAUUUAUGAAAUGCGUUCCUAUUUAGCUCUUUUGAUGCUCAUAAUUUAUUUAAUUCUGAAAGUUCCACGGGGUAAAACCAAUCACUCUAUGUUUUCAUAGUCUUGGUACAAACCUUAUAUAUCACUGAUCACAGUAUACGUAUUGAUUGAUUAACUGACUGACAGAGUCUCACUAUGUUGCUUAGGCUGGCCUUGAACUCCUGGGUUCAAGCAAUCCUCCUGCCUCCACCUCCUGAGUAGCUGAGACUACAGGCAUGUGCCACUGUAUCUGGCUAAUAUUAUUUUUUUGUUAUGUCUGUGUCCUCUAUUAUAACAAUCUCCUUGAUCCAAGGGACAAUGUCUUACAGAUAAUUAUCUGUGUAUUACCAAUGCCUAACACUGCUGACACAUAGUAGAGAAUGAAUACAUGUUUCUGGAAAGAACAAAAGAAUGAAGAAACCAAGGUAUAAUAAAUGGAAGGACAGAGGUAGAAAAAAGAGAAAAGUGGGCUCAGGAACCGAGAAAUUAGCUUGCAACAUCAAAGACAUGAGCUCAGGGGCCUUAAAACAACAGAGUUCACAUUUAUAAUCCUGUUUAUCAAACUGCCCCAUUGACAGUGUGUAGGCAGUAAAGUUUUAAACCAGGAAGGUGUAAGUAGCAAUCACUGCACAGCUUAAGCCCAGUGCUUAAAAGUUUUCUUACAAUAAGCUGCAGGAACCACAGCAGGAAAGAUACCAGGGUGUUGCUCUGACAUAUUCUGUUGCCCAGAAAAAUGCUUCCAGAGGGACAAAGAUUAAAAUUGACACUAUGGCUGUGGCCAGAAGGCAGGGAAAUGUUAGAUA
ensembl:lncRNA